CGAGCGAGGACGGUAGCAAUACCGAGCCGAGCCGGCGAACGGGGUGAGUAACGCGUAAGCAAUCUGCCCCACAAUCGGGAACAACCGUGCCAACGCGCGGCGUAAUGCCGGAUAUUGUAGUCUACUGCAUAGUAGGCCAACGAAAGAUUUAUUGUUGUGGGAUGAGCUUGCGUCCGAUUAGCUAGUUGGCGGGGUAAUAGCCCACCAAGGCGACGAUCGGUAGCCGGCCUGAGAGGGUGAUCGGCCACAUUGGGACUGAGAUACGGCCCAGACUCCUACGGGAGGCAGCAGUAGGGAAUAUUGCGCAAUGGGGGGAACCCUGACGCAGCAACGCCAACCGUGUGGGAAGAAGCAUUUCGGUGUGUAAACCACUGUCGGAAAGGAAUAACGGAAGACUUCGGUCUUUAUGAAUGUACUUUUAGAGGAAGCACCGGCAAACUUCGUGCCAGCAGCAGC
rnacentral:rRNA from 1 species